UCUACUCUGAGCUCCUCAUGGAUGGCCGAGCUUCUCAUCCUUUCUCUAAGGGAGACACCAGCCACCUGCCUGAGGAAACCCGCGAUCUUGUUCUUUCGGUCAUGACGCAGCCUUCAUGACCAUAGCUUUCCAUUCAUACUUUCAUCAGCCGAUUUUACUCAUGGAGCCGGCUGCUUCCAUCAGAUGCAGACUAAACACAGGAAUGACCAGCCACAAGGAAGAUGCAAGACGAAGCAGCCUCUAACCAUCAAGAUGCAAGGAAAAGACGCAAGUGAGGGAAACGUGGAUGCAAUUAAGACACUUGAGAAGCACCCACUGUCGCUCCUUUCACUUCUCUACAAGUCAUGAGGGGAAACUAUCUGAUAAAUGAGGAACAACAGACCUGGAAAACAGAACUAAAUGUGGACAACAUGGACCAAAACAAUAAAAACACAACUCCAAGUUUCCAAAUGUAAGAAUAUUUAUUUUUCCCCCAUAAUACACUUGAGUUGAAAACUUAAGAACUAUAGAGUACCAAGUGUUUUCCUGCACAUACAUUUGUCUUUGAGUUUGUUAUUAAAGGCACAUUAUUAACAAUAACCAUCAGCUGUUGCUGAGAUUGAACUUCAUUCAGAAAAGUGUUUGUUCCUUAUUCCACAGGUCUGGUCUUUUUUGUUCGACUUUCAGCUUUCAGCUUAAAUCAAAUAAAUCUCACAUAGGCCAUAGCCUUUGGAUAUCAUUAGCUUUUAGCAAGGACACACU